rnacentral:rRNA from 1 species
GUACCAUGUGUUGCUUC